rnacentral:rRNA from 1 species
UACGUAGGGGGCAAGCGUUGUCCGGAAUCAUUGGGCGUAAAGAGCGUGUAGGCGGCUCGGUAAGUCCGCUCUGAAAGCCCGGGGCUCAACCCCGGGAGGCGGGCGGAUACUGUCGGGCUAGAGUCCGGAAGAGGCGAGUGGAAUUCCUGGUGUAGCGGUGAAAUGCGCAGAUAUCAGGAGGAACACCAAUGGCGAAGGCAGCUCGCUGGGACGGUACUGAUGCUGAGACGCGAAAGCGUGGGGAGCAAACAGG